CUCUUCUAGAGGUCCCAUUGACUCUCAGCAUCAAGAGAGCAGGGUUACAGUACCUGGACCUCUCACAAACACGGAGGAAAUCUUGGAAGUAAAGCAAGCAGCAUUAUUCCUAUCCACAACACCUGCCCGUAAAAUUACUACCUUUUACCAUCUAAACAAAACAUCUGGUGGAAGGGGUUGGGAGGGAGUAGAGGACUCAGUGGCCUAUGUUUGUGGACUAAUUGUG